ensembl:lncRNA
AUGAAAAAAGCUUUUAAAUUUGUGAUGGCAGAAGACCACUCCGAUGAUAGUGAGGAUGAGGAGGACAUGGUUGGUGAACCAUUUGAUAGGAACUUUACCCUAUGUUCCCGGCAACGGCUGUCCUGUUUUGCUCACAGUCUUCAGCUAGUAGUGGGCGAUGGAUUAAAGGAGGUGAAGUGCCUUUCUCAAGCAAUGUCCAAAGUGUCAAAACUUGCAACUCUACUGCAUAGCAGCACAAUUUUCAAAGACAAGUUUGAGGCCGUCUUUGGCUAUGGCAAAAGCAUUCCAGUGGCCACUGUAACACGAUGGAAUUCCACCUUCAAGCAAAUACAGGCCAUUACGGAGCUGGAUCACACCACCUUGACAGAAAUGUGCUCUCCCAACUUUAAGAAUGUUGUCAUCACAACAAGAGAGUGGGCUCAGUUGAGAGAACUUUGUUUGAUUCUUGGACCUUUUGCUGAAGCAACUGAAUUAACAGAGGGAGAAAAGAUCAUCACAAUCAGCAUGGUUGUUCCAACAGUGCUUGACCUGAACACUCAUCUAAUUCAGAUAGAUUCGCCAAAGAGCCUCUGCAGGCCAUUGAUCAGAGCACUCCGGGAGUCACUCCAACAAAGGUUCUCAGGCAUCUUCAUUGCACUUCAUAUGGUAGAGCCUGAGGACCAUAGCUUUGAUGCACCAUUUAGUCAUGAAAUCUAUGCACAAGCUGCAAUGUUGGACCCUCGGUUUGGAAUGAGCUGGGUCGACAUGGAUGUGAGGGCCAGUGGCAGCACUGUUGCUAUAAAGAGACUAAGGGAGGAGGUGCGGAAGUCGCUGACAGACUGCUUGAUAGCUGAAGCAGAAAAGGCUGACCUGGAAAAUAUCCAUGCCAGAGAGGGACCUACAGCAGAACCACCUCAUUCUCCUCCAAAUUCCAAGAUUCCAUGACUCCUGGCAAAAGCUCUCCGAUAGAGGAGGACCCCCUUAUGUUCUGGGCUCACAACAAGGACAAAUAUCCACAUUUGCAUGCUCUUGCUCUUAAAGUGCUGUCUGUCCCUGCAUCUUCAGCACCAGUUGAAAGAGUUUUUAGUGCUGGAGGACUUCUUAUGAGGCCCCAUCGAGCAAGCCUAGGAUCAAAAAUGCUCUCAUCACUUAUAUUUCUCAAGUGCAACAAUGGACUUCUGUAAAACAGAAAAGAAUACUGAGAAUGUACAGUAUGAGGAUUAGAUGCAGAGCCAGUUCAGGUUAGGGUCCUGCUAUCCCAUACUUGCAUACAAUUCUGCACUAAAACUGUGUUGGUAAUCCCCUGGGGGAUUUUGAUUUGACUGGUACUCCUGAAUAUGUUAUAUAUUAUAUGGCCUAAGGCAAGCACACACACACACACACACACACAUAGCCACACACACACAUAGCUGAAGAUGUUCAUGUUUAUUAAUUUGUUUUUGUUGUUGUUGUUGAAAAUGCUCCUUUGGUUUAUUACAAGUAAUAAGUUCAAGAAUGGGCACAUUAUCAUUGCAGUCAUUUUGGAGUUAAAAUGUUUAGCAAAUUUUUGUGACACCUGUGUUGCUUUUUAUUUGUUACAUUUUUCAUUGGCAGCCCAGAAUGUUAUUGUUACACUAUAAUAUUGUUAUACAAUUAUUAUUAUUAUAAAGUAGUAUAAUAUAUAUAAUAUAUUAUAUAUAAUAUUGUAUAACAGUAUUGUUACACUAUAAUAAAAAGACUGAACAUGUGAAGUUGCA